rnacentral:lncRNA from 1 species
CUCUGAAGCACAAGAUAAAAACAAAAAUAGAGAAAAAGACUUCAUCUGAACUUAAAAAUAGAUAUAAAAACGAGCAUAUAUGUAUGAGCUCAUCAUAUCGUGAGACUUUAUUUUGUUUGCAAUUUGCUCUUAUUUUUCCUUUUUGGAAUAUUUAAAUUGACUUGAAAAAUAAUUGCAUAAUUUAAAAAACAUAAGCUUAAUUGCCUUAACCCCCCCUCCCCCCAAAAAAAAAAAAAAAAAACUUAAUUAUGCUUUAAUUAUAAUGUAAUGACUCGUACGACCUCCAUUAAAUUUUAUGGAAUCUCCAACGGUCUCCAUUGUUUACGAAAUUGAAUGCAGUCAAG